rnacentral:rRNA from 1 species
AUGUGGUAUCUCCGUAGGGGAGUUGUGCUAACAAAAGACAACCUCGCACGACGCAACUGGUCGGGAAGUAAGAAGUGUUGUUUUUGUACUCAUGACGAGACAAUUAAACACCUCUUUUUUCACUGUAAGUUUGCGCGUUCUACGUGGUCAGCCAUCCAAAUAGCGUCAAAUUUGUAUCCGCCCACAAGUGUUGCCAAUAUUUUUGGUCAUUGGCUGGACGGUAUUUCAAAUGCAUACAAAACGCUAAUAAGGGUGGGAGCGUAUGCCUUACUAUGGUCGCUUUGGCUAUGUAGAAAUGAUGUUGUUUUUAAUGACAAAACUGUUUCUCCUUUGCAGGUUAUUUUCCGUUGUACGCACUCGCUUCGUACGUGGUGUACGCUACAACGAGCAGAGUACCAACCGCUAUUCAAGGCGGUGUGUACGCUGUUGGAGCAGGUGGCUACGGAGGUUUUUACCCAACAUGGAUGGCAGCAUAAUCUCCGGCUCGGUCCGCCAUCUCUUUCGACAUAG